UACAUAAACUACAGUUCCUUAGGCACCUGA
rnacentral:piRNA from 1 species